GGGGAAAGGGUGGGAGGGAAAGAGCUACAUCUUGGUAUCCGUGACAACGGAUACAGAACAGAAGACAACAGAGUAGAAGUCAUGGAUGAUUUUCAGACUGGAGAAGAGACAGCCUUUGUCGUGGACGAAGUGAGUACUAUAGUUAAGGAGGCAGUUGAAGGAGCGAUUGGUGGUAAUGCGUAUCAGCACAACAGGGUGAACCAGUGGACGAAUAAUGUGGUGGAGCAAUGUCUUACUCAACUCAGCAAACUAGGAAAACCGUUCAAGUAUAUCGUAACCUGCAUUAUCAUGCAGAAGAAUGGAGCUGGUUUGCAGACAGCUUGUUCAUGUUUCUGGGACAACACCACAGAUGGGAGUUGCACUGUGAGGUGCCUAUAUGAUGAUUGAGUGCUACAUGGCUUGCACAAGAGUGCAGCCACUCUGGGAUGAUCUUAAAGCAAGAACCAUUUCUAAUUUGUGAUAUAAAGAAGAAAGCAGUCAUUCAAAAGGAAGAGGGUGGAGUAAGCUCUGAGCUGGCAUCAGAAAACACUAGUUUCCUCCCAGUAUUCACUGUAGCUAGUUCUCUUUGUUCAAACUUUUCUCACCAAUUUCAUGACUGCACCACUAAUAUGGGCCAGUAAUCACCAUCUUCCUCUAAAGGACUUGAAGUUUGUCCACCACAUCUCAGAUUACUGGCCACAAAUCAUCUUGACCCGGUUUUAACAUUUGUAAGCCAUGUGAUGAUAUGACAUAAUUUACUGUAAAUUUCUACAAGGUGCUUUAAUUAAAGUGCGCCACAUAGUUCUCUGCAUGUACGGCAACCAGUACUAACAUCAGUAUUUUAAGUAAGACAAGAACCACAUAUCUUACAUUUAAGUGCUACAGAACGCAGCUGUACAUAAAACAGAGAAAACCUUUUCAUAUAUGUAUGGGUGCCAGCGAUGUC